rnacentral:rRNA from 1 species
GACGUAGGGCGCGAGCGUUGUCCGGAUUUAUUGGGCGUAAAGAGCUCGUAGGUGGCUUGUCGCGUCUGUCGUGAAAGCCCGGGGCUUAACUCCGGGUCUGCGGUGGAUACGGGCAGGCUAGAGGCAGGUAGGGGAGAAUGGAAUUCCCGGUGUAGCGGUGAAAUGCGCAGAUAUCAGGAGGAACACCAACGGCGAAGGCAGCUCUCUGGGCCGGUACUGACGCUGAGGAGCGAAAGCGUGGGGAGCGAACAGG